rnacentral:misc_RNA from 1 species
UUUCCGUAGGUGAACCUGCGGAAGGAUCAUUAGCAAAUUGGUUCGUGGGUGUGGUGGGAGUUUUGGGGUUUGUUUGUUGGGGGUUGAUUGUUGUGUGUUUGUUGGGGGUUGAUUGUUGUGUGUUUGUUGGGGGUUGAUUGUUGUUGUGUGUUUGGCAGCGAUGCACUGAUGCAGUCAUGUGUCAUGUGCUUGGCAGCGAUGCACCGAUGCAGUCAUGUGUCAUGGCAGCGAUGCCCUGAUGCCCUGAUGCCCUGAUGCCCUGAUGCCCUGGUGCACUGAUGCACCGAUGCAGUCAGUUCCUAACAUCCCUCCAUACAUGGCUCUCACUGGACUACAUUAACGCUUGUAGUGUUUGACUGAAUUUAUUUACCAAGUACAAAGACAACUUUUAACAAUGGAUCUCUUGGCUCUU